GGGGUUUAAGGCAGGGCAGAUUCAUUUUCUGCCACCGAAUACAUUAGCAUGGGAUAAUGGAAUAGGACCCUGUCCUCCUAUUUUCAGUUGGUUUUGGCAGCGCGAGGACUAGGGUAAUGAUUAAUAGGGAUAGUUGGGGGCAUUAAUAUUUAAUUGUCAGAGGUGAAAUUCUUGGAUUUAUGAAAGAUUAACUUCUGCGAAAGCAUCUGCCAAGGAUGUUUUCAUUAAUCAAGAACGAAAGUUAGGGGAUCGAAGACGAUCAGAUACCGUCGUAGUCUUAACCAUAAACGAUGCCGACCAGCGAUUAGGAGACGUUGAAUACAAAACACCACCAUCGGCGCGGUCGUCCUUGGCGUUCGUGUUCACGCACGAGCGCGAGGGCGGUUUAGCCCGAUGGCACCGGUGAAUGACUCCCUAGCAGAAUUGUGAGAAU
rnacentral:rRNA from 1 species